CCCCUUCCCCCACCUCUCUCUCUUUCUCUCUCUCUUAAAAAAAAAAAAGUGAAUACACAAACAUUGCUCAAAGCCAGAAAUGUCAGGUUAGUUUUGAAAUUCAUGGACUUGUCUCUACAUUCUACAUACCUGGAUAUAGCUCAGUUUCUUGAUGGAUGCUGUUUGCUUUAAAUUUGAUCUCUUCCUUUGAGAUUGAACCCAAUAGGUUAGGUGUGUCAUAAUUCAGAAAUAUGCUAAAAUUUAUUCAUUUGUUCAUUGAGUAAAUAGGUAGUGAAUAGCUACCAUGUGCAGCUACCGUCUGUCCUAAGCACUAAAGAUAUACCAGUAAACCAAACAACCAAAAUCCCUGCCCUUGUGGAGCUUAUAUUUUAGGAGGAGGGGAGGAAUACUACAUAAUAAAUACUUAUAAAGUAUAUGAGAAAAUGAGAUAUGAUAUGAAAAAAAUAGAACACGGUACAUUGGGAGUGGGUUUGGGGACAUAAGUAGUAUGAUUUUAAAUAUAGCUGACAGGAUAGAAUUCCAUGAGGUUAAGCAAAGACAUACAGGGGAUGAGGGAUUGAGCUAUGCACAUAUCUGGGAAAAGGGCAUUCCCAUGGCAGCAGCCCAAAGACCAAAACAUGCGUGGUAAAGAAAGAGAAGAAAUAGACCAUGCAAAUCAUGUAGAGCCUUAUGGGUCGCUGAAAGGAUUUUACUCUGAGUAAAAUGGGAACCACUGCAAAAGAAACACAGAAACCUGAAGUGUGAUUCAUACGCAUCAAAACCUUUGAACCGUACCCCCUAGGGCCUGGAUCGUGGUCUCUAUCAUUUACCAUUAAAAGGAAACAGGACUUAAUGAAGAAAUGACUGAUUACAGAUCUGAAGCAAGAAAUGUACAAGAUGAAUCUGGUGCACCUUGCUAGAGCAGAGAGCAAGAAAGCUGCCAAAGACUGCUAGGAUUGUGUUAAAAGAACUCAGUAGCCAACGUGGAGCAUCUCCUACAAUACAAAGAGGUAAAUUUAGACUAUUACCAAGGAUAAGAACUACAAUAGUUUGACAUACAUAAAACAUGUUCAAAUCUGUGAAUUCAUAAUGAUACCUAAACAAAACAAAACAAAACUGACUUUGAUGCUGUUAGAGGAUGCUGGUGCACCAACUCAUCACUUUCAGAACUGGCAAAUAAAGGGACUUUCCAACACCAACUGUAGUAACGGAUAAUCAAAUAGAAGAUAACACCUCCUCAGCCUGGAGGAUUCAGUACAGACAUCACCUCCUUGGGAAGCCUUCUCUGACCCCUAUGUUCAGGCUAAAAUCUGCUGUUAGACCAUUACAUUUCAACUUUAGCCUGUGGAAGACUGAAUUGCCGAAUGCUGACUUCGAAAGAAUUCAAGGGAUCCUUGAACUUGUGUGCAACCAAUGACCAGCAGUCAUAUAUAUUACCAUGAUCUUUAAUCAGAUUAAGUACAUCAGUAAUGUGAACAAGGCUUGUCAUUUGAAUGUAUUUUAAUUUCUGAAUAUAGGACAAGCAUUUUGGAUGUUCCUUUAGUAAAAAACUAUAUGCUUUAUAUGUUGAAAUUCUAUCAGUCAGUUGAAGUGUAACAGUAUAUUAUUGUAAGAGUGUAACAUUACAAUAAUUAAUGAUGAUUGUGAAAAGUAGGUAAAGGUGUACAAAAUAUGCAUAUUAAGUGAAAAAGGAUGUUAUAUUAGUAAAAUUUUAUGUAUAUGAUAUGAGACCAUUAUUGUCAAAUAUAUUAAUGUAAUAUUAGUAUCUGAAGAGAUAAAAAUCAUAGCUUCUCUGCCUUUUGGCUAAGAUCAAGUGUAGAGAGAGAAAAACCAGAAGAUUGUAUUUUUGUACAGUAAUCAUCCCUGGCAAUGAGGUUCUAGGACAUUUUUACUUUUAUUUUAUAUAUUUAUAUGAUGCUUGAAUUUUCAUUAAGAGCAUACAUUAUCUUUUAUUAAAAAAAACAAUAAAUAUAUUUAAAAUACAAACAAAACUGAAGAUAUACAAGUUAGCAGUCUGAGAAACUAUAUGAUGAUCUUUCUUUUCUUGGAAGAUUCUGUGACCCAGUUACCUAGGACUUUUAUUUCCUCACACUUUUUUUGCUGGCCUUUCAAUCAC